CCUACGGUGGGCUGCAGUGGGGAAUAUUGGACAAUGGGCGAAAGCCUGAUCCAGCCAUGCCGCGUGUGUGAAGAAGGCCUUCGGGUUGUAAAGCACUUUCAGUGGGGAAGAAAGCCUUGGGGCUAAUACCCUCGAGGAAGGACAUCACCCACAGAAGAAGCACCGGCUAACUCCGUGCCAGCAGCCGCGGUAAUACGGAGGGGGCGAGCGUUAAUCGGAAUUACUGGGCGUAAAGCGCGCGUAGGCGGUCUGAUAAGCCGGUUGUGAAAGCCCCGGGCUCAACCUGGGAACGGCAUCCGGAACUGUCAGGCUAGAGUGCAGGAGAGGAAGGUAGAAUUCCCGGUGUAGCGGUGAAAUGCGUAGAGAUCGGGAGGAAUACCAGUGGCGAAGGCGGCCUUCUGGACUGACACUGACGCUGAGGUGCGAAAGCGUGGGUAGCAAACAGGAUUAGAUACCCGAGUAGUC
rnacentral:rRNA from 1 species